rfam:Jatropha curcas cultivar GZQX0401 scaffold285_26, whole genome shotgun sequence.
AUGGAAGGGAUGAUUAUUUCCCCAGAUGAACGAAGUUGAACAAACUGAGCGAUCUUUUCUCUAAGGAGAAUCAAAGCCAGAAAUCUGAUCCGU